AGCUUUCACAAAAAUUCUACGACGUAACGUUAACCUGUUCACUUCCCUUCAAUCAUUCGCGUAAUAAACGUCUAGAGAUGGUUUUGAUACAAAAUGCCAAAGGAAAUGAAGGAAAUAUGAUUCGAUAUUGGAAGCCAUCGUUUUGGGAAAAAUAUGAAACACAAGACAGUUUAUCAAGAAUUGGAAAUUUUAUGAGUCCGUUGUGGAACCAACUCUUAAAUCUAUUUCUGUCUAAUAAGCAAAACUAUAAGCUGAAGUUUCUGGGGCCCUCAACUUGAAGUGACAAACUACUUAGGAUUUGCAAAAAAAAAAAAAAUCCCGAUGUCAUUCCCCUACAAGUAUAUAACUACAUACAUACCUACAUAUGUAUAUAUAGAAAAUAUGUGUAUGCAGAUGCGGCAAAAGAUUACAGCAGCUUAGGUUGGUCAUCUUGUAAGGCUCACAGCCUCGGAUCUCCCGCCGCUCCUUGACUGCCAUCUCUUUCGUACGCAAUACCGGCAUCUCUUUCGCCUGCCAUCCAUGUGGGCUAAUUACGAUCACACUUGGCUGAACCGCUGACCGCAGUUUUGGACCUGGAACAGCGAUUUCGAAUGGGAUUUGUAUGGCGAUUGGGUUUUCUCGAUGUCGCCGGUUUGUUGUAACACCUUCGGGCCGCAAAAGACAACAAAUUGAAAAAAAAAAGAAAAAAAUUCCAGUUGUUGACAACUUAAGUAAGGCGACACCCCAGGUAGAUGAUGUUCAGGUACUCAGGAUCUCCGCACAUUUAAAACUCAUCCUUUUCACAUUUGUGCGGUUGCAAAAUACACAAAAACAGAGGACACUACGAGAAAAUGAAGUGGAUUCUUGCACUGCGAACUGACUUUCUUCCAAGGGAAUCUAAUUAAAGAAAUAAUGCUGCAGCAACAGAACAUGCCACAAACCAUUACCAUUUCGGCUUUUAGUUAGAGAUAUUAUCAUAGCAAAUUGGAGUAGCUCAUUAUCGGGUGAUUGAGGUGCAGCUGGAUGCUGAAAAUCGAUUUAGGGCGAUCAAUGCUCGCAUCGCGCGAUCGAUUUAGGGCGAUCGCAUCGCGCACAACGGAAGAACAAUUGAAACCAUCCAGACAUAUAAAUACCUCUAAUAUUCUUGUAUAUUUACUCUUGUGUAUUGUAAUAUGUAUUCUUGUGUAUUCUUUCACCUGUGCAAUAAAUAGCGAUAAUUUGUGUGUGUUU